AUCGCUUUUGCUGAAAUUUCCACGAAAGAAGACAUGUUGGAAUUUAUAUUCGCGAGUUUUGGAUCACUAUUCAAGCGUUUCGAAUCACUAUUCAAGCGUUUCGAAUCACUAUUCAAGGUUUCGAAUCACUAUUCAAGGUUUUGAUUGCUAUACUGCAAUAAAAAGCGGGUAAACAUUUCGUUUCCCAUCUUUUGCUUUGUACUUGGGGCAAGCACUAUAGCAAAUCUGGCAAAACUGAAUUUCGUUCUUUGAAACAAAAUUUACGUAAUUUCAUCACAAGGUGUAAUAUUUUAAUUCAACAAAAAACUAUCUCAGACUGUAUACCUUCCUUCCCAGUACAGGAGUAUUUUUACACCAAUUUUUCCAAGCAGUAUGCCGCACAAUUUAUUGUCUGAAAAUUGUUGUUAAUAUUUUUGUAUUCACUUUGUUUCGUUUAUGAGUUAUCUUGAUAUAGAAACUGAAACGACAUGAAUUGUAUCAAUCAAACUAGUUAACCUGCUUCACUUGUUAACUAGUCACACGAUUCGUCUGCUGAGAUGCUGACCCACUCAAAGUAACAAAAGAAAUUCAUGCAUCCAUUGCUGCCUCUAAACUACAACUUUCUCCGUGGUAUAGCAAGGAUUCCAGUCGGGAGGUCACGUUAAACGAGAUGGUACGAUUGGAAAUGGAAAAAAUAACUCGUUACACUGAGGUCAACUGGCAACUGUGUAUUUUUUUAACAGCACAGUAGUUGCUGACAACAGAACUGUGAAAGAUUGAAUCCAAAGCUGGUUAAUGUCUAUAACCGUAGCCUCCUCCGUGACUGCUGCUGAAUCCACCGUAAACACCAUCACCACCGACAGUUACGGCUUGAGCGGCUUGGGCAGCCGAAUAAGCUUUAUUAACGGCCUGCUGGGCAGCUGCUAAAUCAGCUUGGGACUGGUACAUUGGAUGUUGAGCAUGGUGGGCAGUAUGACUCGAUCCGUAACCACCGUAAUGGACAGAAGAAUAAGCAGCUGCUUGAGCAGCCAAAUCAAGGAAUGUGCAAAGAAGCUGCAUUUGGAUGAUUGAAGUAAACCAACAGUUUAGCAGCAAUCAGUUAUCAACACAAUGGAUUGAUCUACAAUCUUCGUUAAAAAUCUGCAACAUUUUUCGUCAUUCAUGGUUGGUCAAAGAUGAAUUAUUCAAGGAUAAUUCUUUCAGUUAAAGAUUAACAAGCGGGGCAGCCACCGUAUCCGCCACCAUAUCUUCCGCCGAAUCCACCAUAGGAUCCACCACCACCGACGGCUCAAUAGAAUAGCUAUUGAAUAGCAACGAAUCGCAUUUUUUUAGGACGCCGUAUGUUCGGCUGAAGUGGCGAUUGUGGGAUGUCAAUAAAAUGGCAAGUCUUUGGCUAGCAAAAAAAAA